UACGAAGGGGGCUAGCGUUGCUCGGAAUCACUGGGCGUAAGGGUGCGUAGGCGGGUCUUUAAGUCAGGGGUGAAAUCCUGGAGCUCAACUCCAGAACUGCCUUUGAUACUGAAGAUCUUGAGUUCGGGAGAGGUGAGUGGAACUGCGAGUGUAGAGGUGAAAUUCGUAGAUAUUCGCAAGAACACCAGUGGCGAAGGCGGACUCACUGGCCCGAUACUGACGCUGAGGCACGAAAGCGUGGGGAGC
rnacentral:rRNA from 1 species